rnacentral:misc_RNA from 1 species
GAUGAAGAACGUAGCGAAAUGCGAUAAGUAAUGUGAAUUGCAGAAUUCAGUGAAUCAUCGAAUCUUUGAACGCACAUUGCGCCCCCUGGUAUUCCGGGGGGCAUGCCUGUUCGAGCGUCAUUUCACCACUCAAGCCUCGCUUGGUAUUGGGCAACGCGGUCCGCCGCGUGCCUCAAAUCGUCCGGCUGGGUCUUCUGUCCCCUAAGCGUUGUGGAAACUAUUCGCUAAAGGGUGUUCGGGAGGCUACGCCGUAAAACAACCCCAUUUCUAAGGUUGACCUCGGAUCAGCUAGGGAUACCCGCUGAACUUAAGCAUAUCAAUAAGCGGGGA